GACGAACGCUGGCGGCGUGCUUAACACAUGCAAGUCGAACGGUAAGGCCCCAGCUUGCUGGGGUACACGAGUGGCGAACGGGUUAGUAACACGUGGGUGACCUGCCCCGCACUUCGGGAUAAGCCUGGGAAACUGGGUCUAAUACCGGAUAGGACCGCACCGUGAGGGUGUGGUGGAAAGUUUUUCGGUGUGGGAUGGGCCCGCGGCCUAUCAGCUUGUUGGUGGGGUAAUGGCCUACCAAGGCGGCGACGGGUAGCCGGCCUGAGAGGGUGGACGGCCACAUUGGGACUGAGACACGGCCCAGACUCCUACGGGAGGCAGCAGUGGGGAAUAUUGCACAAUGGGCGGAAGCCUGAUGCAGCGACGCCGCGUGGGGGAUGACGGCCUUCGGGUUGUAAACUCCUUUCACCAUCGACGAAGGUUUUCUGACGGUAGAUGGAGAAGAAGCACCGGCUAACUACGUG
rnacentral:rRNA from 1 species